rnacentral:lncRNA from 1 species
UUGGUGGGUUCAAGCUGGCUCCAGCAUACCGCUAGCCAGGUAUAUCAUCCUAGCUUCUGUUGCUUCCUCCUGCAGGCUAUGGGACUGAUCCAGGAUGUCAUGAAUGAAGUCAAAGACUUGAAGGCAGAUCAAGAGAAGGGGUAUCUACAGAAGGAGUUUCCCCAGGCAUUGAAAGACUACAAAUCAAUGAUUACAGAUGUGGAGGAACGGAUUACAGAUUUAGAGAAGCUAGUCAAUCACCAAGAAAAUAAUUUGGUAACAUUCUGUCCAGUACAGGGAAAAGGGACCCUUGGAACUGGGGACAGGAUUACUCAUAAUCCAGCCCUCCCUCUAAUGGUCCACUCAGGCUCCUCUCCGCAAUCUCAUCACAACAGGACUAGCAGUGUCCUCUGCAUUCUGGGUCCUUAUCCCGGGACCCAAAGGAAUGCUUUCUAAGGUGUCACUCCUUACUCCAGCUUCUCGCUUCUAAUUCAAGGUGGAGGGUUAAGAUCUAUACCUGCUACAAGUCAGGUCUGCAGUGAAACAAAGAAGGGAGCUGUCUGAAGCUUGCUUGAUAAUGGUGGGGGGGUGGGGGGGUGGUUGGAGUAGUUUAAGGCAAGGCAAGAGCAGGUUGUGGGAAAACAGGAUCCCCCAGAUUGCAAGGAUGUGACCAUUUCCCCACCAGGAAAACGUAACGCGAAAGAUGAGUCUGUACCCGGAAGACAACUCGAUCGUUACCUGGGAAGACUUGGAGCAAGCGCUAGUUUCUGGUCGGAGAAGCUCUACGGUGAUUAGGGGAAAAUUGGGAAAGGACUU